rnacentral:lncRNA from 1 species
CAUGGAUGCUCCAUGGUGUAUUUGUACCCAUGGAUCAUGGAAAUGAAAGGCCAUGUCAAUUAGGGUUUACAUGGUGUAACCCUAACUAUAUAAGCAUCUUAUUCUUGACCAAAUCGGCCACUAGGGUGUGAAGUAAAAGGGCUAGCCGAUUUCAUGAGGUGUAGAAUUCUCUCAAGUUAUUCUAAGUGUUUUGGUGAAUGUGAUUCCAUUUGAGGCUUCCACACUAUUGGGGCUAGGCACUCAAGCUUCAUGAAGACUUUCUACAUCAAAGAGGUAUGUAUUCUAUCUUGUUACACUCAUUGUUUUUGUAUGCUAGAUUAGGAUUAUACCUUGGAUGUUCUUAUUUGCAUGUAUAAUAGAGAAAACAUAGAUCCAAGGUAUUUAGGGUUGCAUGUACACUUAGGAGUGUUAGAAUGCUCAAAACCCAACAGUGGUAUCAGAGCCUAGGCUUGUUUUCUUGUUAUACUUGCAAAAGAAGCUGAAAAAACGAAUCUGGUGCUGUCUGGCCAUCAGACUCGGCGAGUCCAUCAGGAGACUCGACGAGUCCAUGCCUAAAAAGUGAUGAAUUCGAUCCAACUCGCCGAGUUGGUUCAUGCACUCGACGAGUUGGACCCCCAGACAGCAUAUUUUCGAGUUUUUUGGCUAGAAAUGGACUAGGAACAUUACCCUAAGUUGUUUUUGAACUUAUAAACUUGUUUUUGAUGUGGUAAUGUUCAUGCUAAUCCAUUUUCAAAGAUAAUUGUCAAUAGAUUCAUGUUUUGUAUUAGUUUAAGGUUUAGACUAAUUACAUGAAAAAGUUUGAUUUGAAUUAUCUUGUUCUUAUGAGUUGCUUAGAUUAAUAGAAAAGUUAAUUGAAAUAGUUGUUUUCAAUCCAUUUUAAUCUAAGAGUUGAGUAUAAAAUGUGUUUGUGUAACUUGUCCUCAAGUUACAUGAAGAGUCACAUUAAAGACUCAUAAAAUUCAUAAAAGUUGGCAAUGGUUACAAAAUGAAGAGUCUUGUGUCAUUGAAUAAUUUUUUUUGACUCCAUAACUUGUCCUCAAGUUAUGGAAGUUCAAGAGUCACUUCAUUAAAGAAAAAUAUGUAACCAUAAUUAAAUCCAUAAGUUAUAAAAUAAAGAAAAAGUUAGUUCUUUUAUUAGUUUAAAGUCUUCCAUAACUUGUCCUCAAGUUAUGGAACUUGAAGAGUUUUUGGAUUAAAACUACUUUAAACACAUAAGUUAUGGAAUUAAUUAGUUUUGAAUAGUUUCAAAACUUGCCCUCAAGUUUUGGAAUUUGAAAAGUUUUCACUUAUGAAUACUUUAAUUCCAAGUUAGCCCUUAGAAUUUUAAAAGUUAAAAUUCAACCCUUAUACUUUAUAAUAUUAUAAGUUAAUAAUAUAUAUAUGUAUAAGAGUAAAGUCAGUCUUACCGCUAGUACGCCUCAUUCACGAAGCCGGUCUAUAAGGUGGGUAUAAGGUUGUUGCCUAUAAAAUGGCAACUUAAUGGGUGUCCACUCUCACCCACCGCUUGCUUGACUGGUGGAGGGUCGUUAGCCGAACGGGUUUGACAGGACUAGAAUUCUCCCUUCAUUAAAAGUAUUAAUGAUAAUACUAAGUAACUAAACUCUUAAUAAUACCCAAUCUUAGUUACUUAGGAAAAAUGUGAAUAAGGUGCUAAUCCAUGAAAUUACACUUUACACUUUGUCUAAGUCGUUAGUGGAGCGUGUGUGGUUAACCGGCACACUAACUUGGACUUAACAAGGUAGGUAAAGGGUGACUUAAUAUUUAUCAUAGUAUCGAUGGAGCGUGUGUGGUUAACCGGCACAUCGAUUGAGGGGUAAUUUAUUAAGGGUACCAAGUGAUUUGCAUGGUUACUUCACACCUUGUUUUGUGAUCCUCGGCAUCCCAGUCACAAAACCUGAAGGGCACACUCGAGAUUGAAACAUGCCUUUGAAAAGUUCAAUGAAUCUCAAAGAUCUAGGAGUUUCAAAACCAAUUAAAACCUAAUAAUACAUUUCGUUUAUCUUGGUGGAAAUUGGUGAAUCGUCAUUCACCUACCUUCAAAUAUUUUAUAGCUUGGAUUACGGCAUACCUCUUCUAAGUUAUAAAAUAGUUUGUUGGGUCCUAGCCUUAAUAUUUCAUAUUGGGUGUCAUAUUAAGGACUUUAAAUCAACUAUCUUGAAUAUCUCCCAAAAGAUGUCUGGUUUAGACACCUAUGAUCUUCCCAAAUCUCUUGAAACAAGGUUUCCUAAUGAAGAUGAUGUCCCAUGGAUAUCAUACUUCUUCACCUCUUCAAAUUAUUCUCCCUAACCCACAAGUUCUUGAAAAGUUUAAGGUCACUCAGGCCCUAUUGGCAAGGCAAGGUCUAGGUGUGGUCACAUCUUGGAGAUGUAGUCACAUAUUGACAAGCCGGGAGAGUUGGGUGUCAAAGUCUUGAGAAAGUUGGUGGUUCAACCACUUUCUAAGUCACAUAGUGAGUUCCUUUGGGACACCUAUGAAACAGACUAUGACAAGACCCUUAAUGAUCUUAUCUAUUUGCUAAGAUCAACUUCCUAAAACUUUAUGGACAUUGACAAUGAUGACAUUGGAUAUCCAGUAAAGCAUUCUCUUCCCAAUGGAAAGGGAUCGGCCAUAGUCAACUCGGUUGACCAAAUGGUAAAGAGAAAAGCUAAGUCUGUGAUAGUCCCGUGUACCAUUAUCAAAGGGUCCAUAUGUUUAUAUUGCCAAAGGAAGGGGCAUUGGUUGCGAAGCUGCCAAAUUUACCUAAGGAUGUUAAAGUCAAUAAGUUUGACUCUACUUCAGGUAAAGUCCACUAUCUAACUCUGUUAAGUUUCUAUUCUGAGAUUCUUGAUACAUGAUGUGACUGGGUCACAUGGUGAUGUUUUAAGAAUCAAAGAAAAGUGAAGAAACUUAAAGAAAGAAUAUGCUGAAUCUGAUGGCGUAGAUGGAUUUCUAUCGCAUAGUUUGAAGAUCGGAUUCUUGAGCUACUUCUUAGGAGUUAUGAGAUAUUGCUUAGGAAUAGAUAACAACAAGUUUUCAUAUGGAUUGUAAGGAUAAGUUUUUCCGCAAAGUUUUAAAAUAAAAGAAAAUUUUUUUGAUUUUAUUUAUUUUAAAAUAUCCUUACAAUGGCAUUUGAGGAAAAAUUGUUGCUUAUAUGAUUCCAUUAAGAGCAAGAGUGGAAAUAUGAAAUUGAUUCUUUCAUUUGUGGUAAUGUCUAAAUUUACCAAAUAAGGAAAGAUUCUCAUCACCCAAGUUUCAAUUGGACCGGAACUUGGAAUCAUGCAAGUUGUAUAGCAUGAUGAAUGAGAACUUUCAAGUUUUGGAAAAUUAAGACUAAUUACUUGUUCACAUGGAUGUGUGAGUCAAGUAAAGGACUUAGGGAUCGAGUACACAUUCUUGUGCACUGAUUAAGUCCACCACUAAAGAUCGAUAAGAAGAAUCAAAUAAGGCAGAAGGAUAAAAGUUUCUCAAAUCUGAAAAGAUGGGAGAGUACUUUAGUAUCAGUUUUGUGAUCAUCUUAAUGAUUAAGAAACCAUAUCAAAAUUAGUUCUCUAAGGAAAUCUUAGUGCAUUCUUAUGACUAAGAAGAGGAACUUGAAUUGUUGAAAUGGUUAAAUCAAGAAGAUGAGUCAUACUUCGUUCCAAUACAAGUCUUAGAGUCAUACUCCAAGAUUGUCAUUUGAGUGACAUGUCUUAAAGAAGGUUUAAAACACUUGUCAAAUGUAAGAGUAAAAGUUUUCUACUCUUGUACAUUUGAAAUUGGUAAGUUGUGAUGUUUUGGAUAAAACAAAGACCAACUUAGGCCAAUUGGGUAAAGUGUUUUUCUUGAUUAGAAUCCGCACUAUCUCUUGGAUGUUUGACAAGGGAGUCUUAUAUGUCAAGAGGACAGUGGGAGUCUUAAAGGUCUUGAAAGUCUCAAGAAAUAAUCAAGAAUAAAACCUAAAGUUCUUCACUAGCACACGACUUGAGGUUUAUAACCUAUCGUGUUGACAUAUCUGUGCCCAUUCCAGUUAAAGUUGGCUUUGCAUAUGAGUUCUUAGAGUUCUCAGUUUGUUGCAUAACAACUUGGAAGCAAUGGCAGGCCCUUGAGCUGCCAGGUGGCAAGAAGUUAAGAUUGAGUUCAAUCCAUAUGGUUUUGGAUUUGUCAUUAUCUUUGUCUUGUGAUUAUGGUUUGACAAAUUCAUAUGGGUAGGAACUCAUACACCAUAUAAAUCUAAGUGUCAUAAGGUUUCUCUCCGAUUCAUGAAAAUGAUGGUGAGGAAACGCUUUCACUAAGUAGAUUUUACGAAGAUAUCAAUUGUGUUAUUUGCAUUUUCAAAAGUCGUUAGUGGAGCGCGUGUGGUUAACCGGCACACUAACAUGGACUUGUGAGAAAUGGCAAAUGCCUAAGCAAUUGAGACCAUGAUUACGGUAUCCCUUUUCAUGGUUCUUGAAAUUGCUUAGACACACAGGUGAGCUAUCUACGGAAAGGGUGUAUGAAUCUAAAUUUCAGACUGUCCAGCUGAUUUCUGAGUACAUGUCAAAGCUAGUGGGAGCAUAAGUGUUAUGCUAAUAAUCAUCAUGUUAGUGGGAGCAUGAUAAUUAUGAUAAGUAUUGCAAGUUAGCAAUGUUAAUUAUAGAAAACAAAAGUUUCAAUUGGGAAAAAGUUGUUUUGCUAUAAUUAAGGGAGAGGAAAUUAUGCUUCAUCUCAAAUCUAUAAGCUUAGAUCGUGAGGUUUUAAUCAUUUAGUCAAGGAUAUAUAUGAAUUUCAUGUUGGAAUGGCUCAACAUAAGGAAAUUCUGUAUAUGGGUCCAUUAUUUGCGUUCUAAAAUUCGAUUAUGAUUACGGCAUCCCUUUUCAUAAUCUGAAUUAUGAGAACUUGGCAAAUUGAAAUGGAAAUAUUAUAGCAAAAGACUGGUUUAGUCUUUAUGUAAGACAUCAUGAAUCGUGUCCCAUAUGCUUCGGAUAUAGGAUCGAUUACAUGUGCUAUAUUCAUCCGUUCUAAAAUUUUCCAAAUGCCUGGGGCAUUAAGAAGGGAAAAGGUUUAGAACUGGAUAUGACUAAAAGGAUUAAACAAUUGUCGAGGACAAUCUAAGGUUUACCAAAGAUUGGUUACUCAAGGACAAUUGGAAGUAUAGUGAUAAUUCUGGAAGGACCAUAUUGACAUAAUCUGUAAGGAGGCAACUCUUGUUCAGAAGUGAUAGUCAAAAUGGAAUCUGGAAAUGUUUCAAAGUUAGAAUUUUCAAUCUGUGUAAGAUUAAGGAAACUUAAUGCAAGAAGGAUAUUUCCAAGGAGUUGAUCUCCUUUGGAAUACUCUGUAAUGAUUGUUGCCAAGUCUUUGUGACUUUGUGCAUAAUCAUUACAAGAGGAUCAAUGCAUAUAAGUUUAGAAUCUAACAGAUUUCAGUAAAUGGCAUGAAUUUGGAAUUCUUGCAUUUGCAGUAAGGAUUUGGGAGUGUGAAAAGAGAAUCAUUGAAGUUAUGUUCAAUUGAUCUAGUUCACAAAGUAAAGAUCAUAGACAAACAUAGUAUGCAUACUUGGUGUGUGGCAUGACUAGUGUUUAAGAAAACAUAGUGUACAUGCUUGGAGCAUGGGACAACUAUUGUUUUAAAUUCAAGAAUAAAGUUGAUAGCUGAAACAGUAUACAAUGAAUAAUGUGUAAUCAUAUGGUGAUAAAUAAAAGGUGUUUUAUUUAUGUUCAAAGGGUUGAUACCAUAUUGGAUUCAAUUAUUAUUGUGUUUCAUUUUGCAUGUUUUGACUUCCCGAAUAAACUGGGUUAUUCUUCCGGAAUGACUAAGUUAUUCAAACCAUCCACAGUCGGUCAUAUGUUGGAAGUAGAUAUGAAUUAAGACUGUCAUGGGUUGGCUUGUAGAGGUCUAAGGUGUUGGACAAAGGGCUACAACACUCAUGAGUGCUCAUAAGUUCUGAGUAUUGGAUUCAACCCGCGCUCAUUGGAAUCACUUCAUGGAUUUUAUCACGAGUGAUCAUGAGACGAUAAUAUCUUAUAUUCUUCAAACCUAGAGAUAUGAGUUGUUACUAUGAGUUGAUAGUACAUUGAUUGCACGAAAACGCAUUUGGUAACUCGGUGCUAUAAAACGUGCCUUUGUGUAUGAUUCAACAAGUAGUAGAACAAGCCAUAUGAGUCGAAGUUUAUCCAUUCCUUUUACCUUCGGGAUAAAAGCGAUAUCUGUGGGCCCCUCGAUGAUUUGAUGAUGACAAAUGGAAGUGCUCGGCCGGGCCAGGACUGAUUUGAUUUGUUCAAUUAGUCAGUCGUCAUAAAUCGGAAAUCGGGAAACAACAAAUGGACAGAGAGAAUGAUUAUAAUCCAUGUCUCAGUCCAUAUGAUAUCUAGAAUGGAGGAAUAUAUGAUCCCUUAUCUAAUGGACAAGUCAUUGACAAAGGUCAGAGUUCAUCUACAAGGUCAGAGUUCGACAGAAGCUUUUGAGAGCUACGAUUGCCAGUUGGUUCCUGAAGUCAUACGCAAUAAUAGUUUUAGACUUAUCCAAGUGGGAGACUGUUGGAUUAAUGUCUAAGUCCAUAACUAUAAUUGGUAAGACUUGACCCGACCCGGCAUGGUCCAUUUGGGUUGCAUGGCAUCAUGCACUUGGAUAGACUAUAAUGAGAGAAAUAAGACACUUAUGGUUAUUAAUAUAUUAUAAGUUCUAGUAUAUUAAUAAUAAGAAUAAUAAGAUUAUUUAAUUAGUAUUGAUCAAGAAUUAAUCUAGGAUUAAUUAAGUGAUCAAAAGAAGACUAAUUAAAUAUAUGGGUUGAUUGUGUAAAUCAUCCAUACUUGUAUAGUGGGCUAAUGCUCCAUGGAUAAUCAAGUUGGGCUAAAACCCAUAGGAUGGUCCAUGGAUGCUCCAUGGUGUAUUUGUACCCAUGGAUCAUGGAAAUGAAAGGCCAUGUCAAUUAGGGUUUACAUGGUGUAACCCUAACUAUAUAAGCAUCUUAUUCUUGACCAAAUCGUCCACUAGGGUGUGAAGUAAAAGGGCUAGCCGAUUUCAUGAAGUGUAGAAUUCUCUCAAGUUAUUCUAAGUGUUUUGGUGAAUUGUGAUUCCAUUUGAGGCUUCCACACUAUUGGGGCUAGGCACUCAAGCUUCAUGAAGACUUUCUACAUCAAAGAGGUAUGUAUUCUAUCUUGUUACACUCAUUGUUUUUGUAUGCUAGAUUAGGAUUAUACCUUGGAUGUUCUUAUU